rnacentral:other from 1 species
UUUUUUCUGAGGUGCUCGUAAGGAAAGUAUGAUUUGAAAAAACCGAUAAGCCUUUAAUCGGGAAGCAAGACCUUGAAGGAUCGACAAUGCCUGCUUGUCAGGACUGGCGGACUCAAGCAACAGUUGCCCACUUAAAAUUAGAGGGUUUUAUUCAAAUUCUUUCCUACGGCACUAUUGGAUUAUUC